rnacentral:rRNA from 1 species
CAAUAGCGUAUAUUAAAGUUGUUGCGGUUAAAAGCUCGUAGUUGGAUUUCUGCCUGAGGCAGCCGGUCCGCACUUAGUGCGUGUAUCUGGUUUGGUUUGGGCAUCCUCUUGGGGAUCGUUGCUGUGCUUAGUUGCAUGGUGCGGAAUUCAAGACGUUUACUUUGAGGAAUUAGAGUGGUUACGGCAAGCUAUCGCUUUGAAUACAUUAGCAUGGAAUAAUAAUAUAGGGCGUAAGUUCUAUCUUGUUGGUUUCUAGAACAUACGCAAUGAUUAAUAGGGACAAUUGGGGGCAUCCGUAUUUCGUUGUCAGAGGUGAAAUUCUUGGAUUUACGAAAGACGAACAACUGCGAAAGCACUUGCCAAGAGUGUUUUCAUUAAUCAAGAACGAAAGUUAGAGGAUCGAAGAUGAUUAGAUACCG